GAUGAACGCUGGCGGCGUGCCUAAUACAUGCAAGUCGAGCGAACAGACGAGGAGCUUGCUCCUCUGACGUUAGCGGCGGACGGGUGUGUAACACGUGGAUAACCUACCUAUAAGACUGGGAUAACUUCGGGAAACCGGAGCUAAUACCGGAUAAUAUAUUGAACCGCAUGGUUCAAUAGUGAAAGACGGUUUUGCUGUCACUUAUAGAUGGAUCCGCGCCGCAUUAGCUAGUUGGUAAGGUAACGGCUUACCAAGGCAACGAUGCGUAGCCGACCUGAGGGUGAUCGGCCACACUGGAACUGAGACACGGUCCAGACUCCUACGGGAGGCAGCAGUAGGGAAUCUUCCGCAAUGGGCGAAAGCCUGACGGAGCAACGCCGCGUGAGUGAUGAAGGUCUUCGGAUCGUAAAACUCUGUUAUUAGGGAAGAACAAAUGUGUAAGUAACUAUGCACGUCUUGACGGUACCUAAUCAGAAAGCCACGGCUAACUACGUG
rnacentral:rRNA from 1 species